rnacentral:sRNA from 1 species
AAAUUACAGUGGACGAGAGGAAGGAGAAGAAGAAAGG